UACGUAGGGGGCGAGCGUUGUCCGGAAUCAUUGGGCGUAAAGAGCUCGUAGGCGGUUCAGCAAGUCGGCUGUGAAAUUCCGAGGCUCAACCUCGGAACUGCAGUCGAUACUGCUGUGACUCGAGUCCGGUAGAGGAGAAUGGAAUUCCCGGUGUAGCGGUGAAAUGCGUAGAUAUCUGGAGGAACACCGGUGGCGAAGGCGGCAUCCUGGACCGGCAUUGACGCUGAGGCGCGAAAGCCAGGGGAGCAAACGGG
rnacentral:rRNA from 1 species